UAUAUUCCAAUUGGACAGUUCAGGCAUGGACCAGGGCCUGGCUCUCCUCUCAGGGCCUUUCUCCUGUCUAAAUUUGGUGGGUGACCUCUGGCUGGAAAGAGGAAGUGAGGUGGUGGAAAGAGACAAGGUUUCUUCCUUCCCUGCAGGAGGCUGUGGCAAAAAGCCAGCAUUCACACGGGGUUCCUCCAUGUUGAUUGGGCUGAUUUUGAACUCCUGACCUCAGGUGAUCCGCCUGCUCCAGCCUCCCAAAGUGUUGGGAUUACAGGCGUGAGCCACCGCGCCUGGACUCAAAAGAGCUUUACAUUUUUAUACAUACUAAUAACGACUUAAUUAGUACAGAUCCAAUUGUCAAUUACCCAUGUUAUCUGCUUUCCAACUUAUUUGGGCUGUUUCCCUUUCCAGAAACCAGAGAGGGGAAGAAAAAAAGCACAAAAACAAAAUAAUUUGCUCAUUUGUUAUUUGCAUUAAGUAAUUUUGGAGAAGAUUGAAAUUAUCUACAAAAGUGAAUCUAUUAUUUGUGGGUUUUCCAGUUCCACAGGCAAUCGAGAGCCACUGUGAAGUCUCUUCCUGAUAGACCAAACCAAAUUUAUGACUUCCAGAAAUCUCCAGAUCCAAGGGUCAAGGUUGUGUCGCUUUCAAUGGACAAGUUCUGCCCAGGUUCUUCAGUUUUGAGAAAAGGAAAACCAGUAACACAAAAUUCAAUACUUUUCCAAUGGUCUCUUUAAAUAAAUUUGCUACAGACACUGUGGCAACACUAAAGCUUAUUAAGCUAAAAAGUUUCUUGAAAUUGUCAGAAAGUGCUAAAAAUCUACUUUUAGAAAGCCAUGAGUUACAUAUGUAUUUUGUAGAGGGAAGAGUUGUUGGAAGGUUUGUUUACUCUAAAG
rnacentral:lncRNA from 1 species